rnacentral:rRNA from 1 species
AGCAGCCGCGGUAAUUCCAGCUCCAAUAGCGUAUAUUAAAGUUGUUGCAGUUAAAAAGCUCGUAGUUGAAUUUCGGGAUCAAUAUGUUGGUCGUGCCUUGGUACGUACUGGCGUCAUUGGUUCCUACCUUCUGAAGAACCUCGAUGUCAUUAAUUUGGUGUCUUGGGGAAUCAGGACUGUUACUUUGAAAAAAUUAGAGUGUUUAAAGCAAGCUCACGCUUGAAUACAUUAGCAUGGAAUAAUGAAAUAGGACGUUUGAUUCUAUUUUGUUGGUUUCUAGGAUCGACGUAAUGAUUAAUAGGGAUAGUUGGGGGCAUUAGUAUUCAAUUGUCAGAGGUGAAAUUCUUGAAUUUAUUGAAGACUAACUACUGCGAAAGCAUUUGCCAAGGAUGUUUUCAUUAAUCAAGAACGAAAGUUAGGGGAUCGAAGACGAUCAGAUACCGUCGUAGUCUUAACCAUAAACUAUGCCGACUAGGGAUCGGAUGAUGUUAAUUUUUUAAUGACUCA